GGCACCAGGUCCUCACGCUCCUUGGCCUCCAGCGCCUGCUUCUCCAGGUGCUGCAGCAGCGCCUCGCGGUCCAGCGGCCCCGUGGGGCUCUUGUGUGUCUGAUCCCGCUGCCGCAGCCCCGCCGGCAGCAGCACGUUCUGGGGAAGCACCAGGGGACACCCAUGGGUGCCACCGCUGCCCUGCCUGCCCGACCUCCCCCCCCCGUGCUGUGCCGACCCCCGGCCGCACCUCGGGGUCCAUCUCCAGCAGCUCAGUGUCCAGCUGCUCCAGCUCCUCGGCUGACAGCUCCUGUAGGAUCUUGUCCUCGUCGAUGUCCCUGUAUUUCUCCAGCUCUUGCCGCCACCCGGGGAGGAACCACAGAAGCACACUGAGGACGCAGAGCCCUGUGCCAACCGAGGGACCCCCAAGGGAUGGGGAUUUGCCCCCCAACCCGCAGCUCUGAGGAUGGGAAGGGGGCACUCAGGGGGACACCGCAGCAACUCCAGCAGCGACCCGAGCUGACAGCCGCAGGAGAAACCCGAUGGCGCCGCUCGGCACGGGGACCCCCAGCGGGACCCUGCGACCCCCCCCAAGGGCAUGAGAUCAGCGUUUUAUUCUGCGAGCCGGCAGUGGGGAGGGGCGAGAUCACAUAACCCGCUGUUAUCGAGCCCUGCCAGCGCCCCGCGCGGCUCCA